rnacentral:lncRNA from 1 species
UGUGCGGUUACUCAUGGUCUUCUCUUCACAAAUCAGCUGUGAGAAGAUCCCAACUGGAUUCCAGGCAGCAGUCUGCUGUGAAAUGAGAGGUGCUGCGUUAGACGUGCAAGAACGACGUGCUUUCAACACCACCUGUUUUCUUCCUGCUUGUGGAUUCACCAUUAGGCAAAAAUCUUGCCGCUGGAUUUGCCCCUGGGCACUGGGUGCAAGAAACUUCCUGCAACUGGAUUCACCACUAGGGAUAAGGUGUGUGACAGCUGUUGUGAGAAAUAUUGUAUCUCCAGAAUCAGGGGUGCACAGGGGAUGCUGCCAUGUUGGGCAUGGAAAUUGGCAGGGGAAAGGAUUAAACAAGGAGCCGGCUAUUGAUGGUUUU